GGUUGUGGCUCAGCAGGAGAGUGCUGGCCUAGCAAGUGCGAGGCCCUGGGUUCGAUCCUCAGCACCA
rnacentral:tRNA from 1 species